rnacentral:rRNA from 1 species
AGAGUUUGAUCAUGGCUCAGGAUGAACGCUAGCUACAGGCUUAACACAUGCAAGUCGAGGGGAAACGACAUCGAAAGCUUGCUUUUGAUGGGCGUCGACCGGCGCACGGGUGAGUAACGCGUAUCCAACCUGCCCACCACUUGGGGAUAACCUUGCGAAAGUAAGACUAAUACCCAAUGACGUCUCUAGAAGACAUCUGAAGGAGAUUAAAGAUUUAUCGGUGAUGGAUGGGGAUGCGUCUGAUUAGCUUGGUUGGCGGGGUAACGGCCACCAAGGCGACGAUCAGUAGGGGUUCUGAGAGGAAGGUCCCCCCANAUUGGAACUGGAGACACGGUCCAAACUCCUACGGGAGCCA